CUGCGCGCCUGCGCCGAUUUGAUGUUCAGCUUGCGGGCGCAUUACAAAUGCGGCUAAAGAGACGCGUUGCAGCACCA
rnacentral:ncRNA from 2 species